rnacentral:rRNA from 1 species
CGAAGGGGGCUAGCGUUGUUCGGAAUUGCUGGGCGUAAAGCGAGUGUAGGUGGUUGUCCAAGUUGGAUGUGAAAGCCUUGAGCUCAACUCAAGAAAUGCAUUCAGGACUGGAUGGCUAGAGGACCGGAGAGGAUAGUGGAAUUCCCAGUGUAGUGGUGAAAUACGUAGAGAUUGGGAAGAACACCAGUGGCGAAGGCGGCUAUCUGGACGGUUUCUGACACUAAGACUCGAAAGCGUGGGGAGCAAACAGGAUUAGAUACCCUGGUAGUCCACGCCGUAAACGAUGGGUGCUAGACGUUGGCGAGCUUGCUCGUCAGUGUCGCAGCUAACGCGUUAAGCACCCCGCCUGGGGAGUACGGCCGCAAGGUUG